rnacentral:misc_RNA from 1 species
GAUGAAAACUCAGCGAAAUGCGAUAAGUAGUGUGAAUUGCAGAAUUCAGUGAAUCAUCGAAUCUUUGAACGCACAUUGCGCCCCUUGGUAUUCCAUGGGGCAUGCCUGUUCGAGCGUCAUUUGUACCUUCAAGCUCUGCUUGGUGUUGGGUGUUUGUCUCGCCUCUGCGUGUAGACUCGCCUCAAAACAAUUGGCAGCCGGCGUAUUGAUUUCGGAGCGCAGUACAUCUCGCGCUUUGCACUCAUAACGACGACGUCCAAAAGUACAUUUUUACACUCUUGACCUCGGAUCAGGUAGGGAUACCCGCUGAACUUAAGCAUAUCAAUAAGCGGAGGA